rnacentral:tmRNA from 1 species
GGGGGCGACAAGGCUUCGACGGCGGUUGCGAAGUCAUCAGGUGCAUGCCGAGAGGGUAGUGACUCUCGUUAAUCAAUCGCUGCAACUUUUUAUAGUUGCCAACGACGAAAACUACGCACUAGCAGCGUAAGCUGC